UGCCUGGUUGAUCCUGCCAGUAGUCAUAUGCUUGUCUCAAAGAUUAAGCCAUGCAAGUCUAAGUACGAGCUCUCGUACAGUGAAACUGCGAAUGGCUCAUUAAAUCAGUUAUGGUUCAUUUGAUCGUACAGUUUACUUGGAUAACUGUGGUAAUUCUAGAGCUAAUACAUGCGAGAAGCGCCGACCUCGCGGGAGGCGUGCAUUUAUCAGACCAAAAACCGGCCGCGUCUUCGGGCGCGUUCGCCUUGGUGACUCUGGAUAACUUUGCGGAUCGCACGGUCUAGCACCGGCGACGGAUCAUUCAAGUGUCUGCCCUAUCAACUUUCGUCGGUACGGUAUUUGCCUACCGAGGUUCUUACGGGUGACGGGGAAUCAGGGUUCGAUUCCGGAGAGGGAGCCUGAGAAACGGCUACCACAUCCAAGGAAGGCAGCAGGCGCGCAAAUUACCCAUUCCCGACGCGGGGAGGUAGUGACGAAAAAUAACAAUGCAGGACUCGUUCGAGGCCCUGUAAUUGGAAUGAGUACACUUUAAAAGCUUUAACGAGUAUCCAUUGGAGGGCAAGUCUGGUGCCAGCAGCCGCGGUAAUUCCAGCUCCAAAAGUAUAUAUUUAAGUUGUUGCGGUUAAAAAGCUCGUAGUUGGGAUUCCACCCGCACGGCGGCCGGUCCGUCGCAAG
rnacentral:ncRNA from 1 species